GACGAACGCUGGCGGCGCGCCUAACACAUGCAAGUCGAACGAGCGAGAGAGAGCUUGCUUUCUCGAGCGAGUGGCGAACGGGUGAGUAACGCGUGAGGAACCUGCCUCAAAGAGGGGGACAACAGUUGGAAACGACUGCUAAUACCGCAUAAGCCCACGGGUCGGCAUCGACCAGAGGGAAAAGGAGCAAUCCGCUUUGAGAUGGCCUCGCGUCCGAUUAGCUAGUUGGUGAGGUAAUGGCCCACCAAGGCGACGAUCGGUAGCCGGACUGAGAGGUUGAACGGCCACAUUGGGACUGAGACACGGCCCAGACUCCUACGGGAGGCAGAAGUGGGGAAUAUUGCACAAUGGGGGAAACCCUGAUGCAGCGACGCCGCGUGGAGGAAGAAGGUCUUCGGAUUGUAAACUCCUGUUGUUGGGGAAGAUAAUGACGGUACCAAACAAGGAAGUGACGGCUAACUACGUG
rnacentral:rRNA from 1 species